rnacentral:rRNA from 1 species
GAUAAACGCUGGCGGCGUGCCUAAUGCAUGCAAGUCGAACGGUCUAGUUUCUUCGGAAGCUAGGUAGUGGCAAACGGGUGAGUAACACGUGGGGAUCUGCCCAGUAGUGGGGAACAACUCCUCGAAAGAGGAGCUAAUACCGCAUACGGUCGAAGGACUAAAGCUCGCAAGAGCGCUAUUGGAGGAACCUGCGGCUGAUUAGCUAGUUGGUGGGGUAAAGGCCUACCAAGGCGANGAUCAGUAGCUGGUCUGAGAGGAUGGACAGCCACACUGGGACUGAGAUACGGCCCAGACUCCUACGGGAGGCAGCAGCAAGGAAUUUUCGUCAAUGGGGGAAACCCUGAACGAGCAACGCCGCGUGGG